rnacentral:misc_RNA from 1 species
GAUGAAGAACGUAGCGAACGUGCGAAACGUAGUGUGAAUUGCAGAAUUCAGUGAAUCAUCGAAUCUUUGAACGCACAUUGCGCCCUUUGGUAUUCCAAAGGGCAUGCCUGUUCGAGCGUCAUUUGUACCUUCAAGCUUUGCUUGGUGUUGGGCGUUUUUGUCUCCCUCUUUCUGGGAGACUCGCCUUAAAACGAUUGGCAGCCGGCCUACUGGUUUCGGAGCGCAGCACAUAAUUUGCGCUUUGUAUCAGGAGAAAAGGACGGUAAUCCAUCAAGACUCUACAUUUUUAACUUUUGACCUCGGAUCAGGUAGGGAUACCCGCUGAACUUAAGCAUAUCAAUAAGCGGAGGA